CCCCCCGCACGGUGCCGCUCGGCCCCCACGGCGUCCGCCUCUGCGCGACCCCCCGGCAGCCGCAGGCAUGGAGCCCCCCGGGGAUGCAGGUGAGAGGGGGGGCGGAAAAACCAACGGAAAAGCCGCGGGAUGGGGGCCCCGCUGUAUGCAGGUCCCUACAGAGCGCUAUGGGGUCCCGUCGUGGCCCCGUUGCAUGAAUGUCCCCAUAGAGCACAACGGGGUCCCAUCCCAUCGUGGCCCUAUUGUAUUUUGGGGUCUCAUUGUGUCCCCAUUGCAUGAAGCUCCCUAUGGGGUCCUGUUCAUCGUGGCCCUAUUGCACUUUGGGGUCCCAUCGUGGCCCCGUUGCAUGAAUGUCUCCAUAGUGCACAAUGGGGUCCCAUCCCAUUGCGUCCCCAUUGCAUGAAGCUCCCUGUAGUUCACAAUGGGGUCCCAUCUCAUCGUGGCCCUAUUGUUUGGGGUCCCAUGUUGUCCCCAUUGCAUGAAGCUCCCUAUGGGGUCCUGUUCAUCAUGGCCCUAUUGCACUUUGGGGUCCCAUCAUGGCCCCAUUGCAUGAAGGUCCCUAUAGAGCACUGUGGGGUCCCAUUCAUCAUGUCCUCAUUGCAUUUUGGGGUCUCAUGGUGUCCCCAUUGCAUGAAUGUCCCCAUAAUGCACCAUGGGGUCCCAUCCCAUCGUGGCCCCAUUGCAAUUUGGGGUCCCAUCAUGUCCCCAUUGCAUGAACAUCCCCAUAGUGCACAAUGGGGUCCCAUGCCAUCAUGGUCCUAUUGCACUUUGGGGUCUCAUCGUGGCCCCAUUGCAUGAAGCUCCCUAUAGAGCACUGUGGGGUCCCGUUCAUUGUGGCCCCAUUGCAAUUUGGGGUCCCAUGUUGUUCCCAUUGCAUGAAUGUCCCCAUAAUGCACAAUAGGGUCCCAUCCCAUCGUGGCCCCAUUGCACUUUGGGGUCCCAUUGUGUCCCCGUUGCAUGAACGUCCCCAUAAUGCACAAUGGGGUCCCAUUCAUUGUGGCCCUAUUGCACUUUAGGGUCUUAUCAUGUCCCCAUUGCACGAACAUCCCCACAGCGCACUAUGGGGUCCCAUCCCAUCGUGGCCCCAUUGCACUUUGGGGUCCCAUCGUGCCCCCAUUGCAUGAAGCACCCUAUAGCACAAUGGGGUCCCAUCCCAUCGUGGCCCCAUUGCACUUUGGGGUCCUGCCAUGUCCCCAUUGCACGAACGUCCCUAUAGUUCACAAUGGGUUCCCAUAUAUCAUGGCCCUAUUGCACUAUGGGGUUCCAUUAUGUCCCCAUGUCCCCGUUGCGCUUUGGGGUCCCACGUGUCCCUGUUUUAUGAGGUCCCCAUAGUGCACAAUUGGGUCCCAUCCUAUUAUGGCCCCAUUGCACUUUGGGGUCCCAUCGUGCCCCCAUUGCAUGAAGCUCCCUAUAGCACAAUGGGGUCCCAUCCCAUCGUGGCCCCGUUGCACUUUGGGGUCCCAUAGCAUCCCCAUUACAUAGUGGGGUCUCAUCAUUGCACAAAGGUCCCUAUAGUGCACUAUAGGGUCCCAUCCCCUCAUGCCCCCGUUGCUCUAUGGGGUCUCACUGUGACCCCGUGCCCCCAUUGUGCUAUGGGGUCUCUCUGUGUCCCUAUUGCAUAGACAUCCCUGUAGUGCAUUAUGGGGUCCCAUUGUGAACCCAUUACAUGUCUGGUCCUAUUGUGUCCUCAUUGCAUGAAGGUCCCUAUGGGGCACUAUGGGAUCCCAUCAUAUCCCCAUGACCCCACUAUGGGGUUCCCUCGUGUCCCCGUUGUGUGAAGGUCCCUAUAGUGCACUGC
rnacentral:lncRNA from 1 species